CAGAAGUUUUUCUCCCAAAGUCACAGUGACCUGAUCAUUCCUGUAGUUAAAAAAGAACAAGUAGUUGAAAAUGGAGGCACAUAGAAAAAACAUUUAUCUUUUUCUUUUCAAAAGACCCAUGCUUCAGGCACAGGUCUAGGUGCUGUGCUGAGCCAAACUAUUGAUGGUGCUGAACACCCGAUAAUGUACCUGAGCUGGAAACUGUUGGACUGGAAAACCAGAUAAUGAGAAGAAUAAAAGGUACAAUAAGAAGACUGGCAGACGAUUCCAUUCACCCGUUAAACCCUCCACUUCCGACCUUACCUCACGACUGCACUCCCGACUUUUC